rnacentral:lncRNA from 1 species
AUGGCCAAACGCAACAACCCUGCAGCUGAGACCCUGCCCACUGCCCUGCUGGGUGCUCAGCCACCCCAGCGCCUCCGCAGGGCCCUGCAGGGAGGACUGGCUGGGGCAUGCGACUCUGGCUGUCCAGCUGAUGCCCGCAGGCAGUGCCCGGCUUCCAGCCCGCAGGACUGGCCAGCUGCUGACGCGCCCGAGCCAGGGGCAGGCUGCGGCUCACACGGGAGCUGGGCUGUGGAUGGGGUCUGGGCACGUGUGGAGAGGCUGCACUCCUGGUUUGGACCCAGCAGUGCUGUCACGGCGGGAUGCUGGGAAGGGUCAGGGGCCCAGGUCUGGAGCCCGGACAGUCACCGGUGCAGCAGCCCCACGGCCCUGGCAGGGAUGCCUUUAUUAGGCGAGGCGGGACAGGGGUGCCCGUCACCGCGUCCCCAUCUCAACCCGAGUCCUCAUUUCAGCCACACAAGCACAGGGCGAGCGAGGUCCUGCCUUCCGUCUCACAGGGCAAAACCUGGCUCACGCACGCAGUGGGUUCUGCAAAUCGUCCCUCUCCUCAGGGCUCCAUACCCGAUGCCCACUGGCCUGGCGACCACCCCAGCGGCCCCCAGUUGCCUUCAGCAGGGAGUGGCGCAUACCUGGGACGAGAGUGGACGGCCGUGUCCCCCGUGGUUGCAUGGGGACCCUGACAGCCUGCUUCCCCUCCUGCUGUGGGAACGUGCGGACACCGUUUGGUGUCCAUCUGUAGGUACUUGAAGCAAUGCUGCAAAACCAUCCUCCAGCGCAUACUGUUUGCAGGUGUGCAGAUGCACCCACCUGGUAAGUUACUGAAAUCAGGCUUGCUGGACCCGGGGUGUGCGUCUGUCAAGAUCUGUCAAGGUGCUUCUGUUGGGGUGAGUCCAGUUUCCACCCAUCUGUGUGCAUGUGUGCUCUUCACCCCCCAGUUUAUGGUGGAGACCCCUCAGCCACCUAUUCCUUUUUUUUUUUUAAGAUUUAUUUUAUAUUUCUACCCCCCAUUGCUUGUGCUCGUGGUGUCUGUGUAUUGUGCACUUGUCUUCCUCUUUUUAGAAGGCACCGGAAACCAGACCCGGGACCUCCCAUGUGGGAGGGAGGCACCUAACCGCUUGAGCUACCUCUGCUUCCUGCUUUGUUGUGUCUCUCAUUAAGGUUUUCAUCCUCAUGUCUCUUGUUGUGUCAUCUCGCUGCAUCAGCUCACUGUGCCAACCAGUCGCAUCAGCUCACUGUCUUGUAUUCUUUAGGAGGCGCUGGGGACUGAACCCAUGUGGUAGGCGGGAGCUCAAUCACUUGAGGCACAUCUGCUUCCUGCACCUGUUCCUUUGUGUUCUCUGACUUGGGGAGGGGCCCAGUGCUUCUGUGGGUCUAAGAGCUAGCACCCCUUCAUGCUACUCUGUGUGCACUUGCCCCUUUCAAAUGCAAAAACACUGUUCCAGUCUGCUGGUUGCUGGAAUCAGUAUACCAGAAACGGGUCAGCUCUAUACAAUGGGAUUUAUUAACUCACAAGCUUACAGUUCUGAGGCCACGAAAAUGUCCAAACCAAGGCAUCGUCAGGCAGUGCUUCCUCUACGGACUGGCUGCCGGCGCUCCUGGACUCCUCUGUCCAUGGCAGGGCACACAGCGGCACCUGCUGCUCUCUCCUUUCUCCUCUGGCUUUCAUUGCUUUCAGCUUCUGGCUUCUGUGGCUCUCGCUCUCUCUCUGUCUUCAUUCCAUUUAUAAAGGACUCCAGUAAGAGGGUAAAACCCACCCUCGGCCGUGCCCUGAAUGAAGUAGCCGCAUCAAAAGGCCCUUAACUGAAGUGCCCUAGUCAGGAGUUCCCACCCACAGUAGGUCCACCCACAGUAGGUCCACCCACAGUAGGUCCACACCCACAGGAACGGGCUAGCUUUAAGAACCUAAGUUUCUGGGGUCCAUUCAGCUUCAAACCAUCACAAAUGCUUUUUUUUUUUAACCUUUCUUUUUCUGUGAGUUGUGUCCUUGGCCCAUUUUCUCAGGCUGUUGUUCUUUUCAUAUUGAUAUGUGUUGAGUCAGCCUUUUGUCUAUAAUAUAAAUUACAAAUAUUUUUCCAAGUUUUUCAUUUGUCUUUUGACUUUCCCAAUGUCGAUUUUGCGUUACAAGAAUGUUUCAUUUUUACGUAGGAAAAUGUAUCCACCUAUAUUUAUGGCUUCUGGGUUUGGCUUCAAGUUUAGAAAAGCCUGCCCAACUCUGAGGUUAAAAAGAAUUCUCCAUUCAUUUCAUCCAGCACUUUCAUGGUUUGUCUUCCAAUCCAUAAACCCAGAUGUCCUUCUAUUUAUUUAACUCUUUAAUUUCUUUCAGCAAUGUUUUGUAGUUUUCAGUGUAUAAGUCUUUUGUCUUCCUGGUU